ensembl:lncRNA
UCACACUGAAAGAAGGCAGAUUUAGUUUGGAUAUUGAGAAGAAAUUUUUGCUUGUGAGGGUGGGCAGGCCCUGGCACAGGGUGCCCAGAGAAGCUGUGGCUGCCCCUGGAUCCCUGGAAGUGCCCAAGGCCAGGUUGGAUGGAGCUUGGAGCAAUCUGAGAUGGUGGGAGGUGUCCCUGCUCGUGGCAGGGGGUUGAUAUUGGAUGAUCUUUAAGGUCCUUUCCAAUUCAAACCAUUCCAGGAUUCUGUGAUUCCGUGGUCCUGGCAGUGGUGGCUUCCCAAGUAACGAAGUUCAGUCCAUCUGAUUUAUUCCCUGGAUCAGGAUGUGCAGUGAGAAGAAAAAAAAAACCCAGAAAAGGAGGAGAAAAAGGGGGAAGAAAGGGAGAUGUGAAUCCAGCAUGGAAAGCUGAUGUAGGGUGGCAAAAUGUGUCUGCUCAGCUCUUCACUGGAUUUCUUCCACUUGAAUUUGAAUGGAGCAGGAUGUAAUUCACUGUGAUAUCGUCGUUCUGGUGUCCAGAGUGGGUGGAAGAAGAUGUGCAUGAUAAGAGAACUCCAAAGAUUGCAGCAAAUUUUGGAAAGAAUUUUUAAAAAUUCCAGUAGAAGUGAAGGUGACCGUACAUGUCCUGGAGCCAGGCUGUGGGGUGGGCAAAGGAAAAGUCAGGAAAGGUUGAGUGACUCGGGAGUGCCAUGGGAGAAAUGGAUGAGCAGAACUCCAUCACUGACAGGACACUGGAAGGACAAUGCUCUCAGGGAUGCACAGGGUGGGAUUGUUGGGGUGCCCUGUGCAGGGCCAGGAGCUGGACUCAAUGAUGCUGGUGGGUCCCUUCCAUCUCAGGAGAUCCCAUGGAUCUGUAAUUCUUUAAAAACUUGGGGAUACACACAGAUGGAAAUAGGAUCCCGAGGGCAUUUUUAUGCCUGAAGGUGAUUCAGCACCUUUUCAGCACCUUCAUGACCUGUCCUUGUGUUUCAGCAGGAGAUGGGAGGAGGAAUCCCUGUGCCUUUCUCUUGGCUUCCACCACUCUCUGCUGGCUCGGAGGGAGUUUGUCCAGCUCCUGUUUUGGGGGGACCAUCAAAGCCCCUGCCUUGAGAGCAGUCCAGUGGCUUUGGAGGGCGGUGAUCAUGGGAUGGCAGCAAAAUCCAUCACUGGGGAAGUUCCCAAGCCCGGUUUUCCCGGUCCUUCUCGGCUGGGUACCACUGCCAGCAGCAGGACACAGCAGGGCUGGGGCUGGCAGUGCCCAGCCCAACCCGAGGCUGCAAAGGGACAGGGAUGAGGGGAGGGAAAAUUAACUUUUUUCCCAGGGGUAGUUUUGCUUUUCUGCUGAAAAGCAAUCCUUAAAAAAAAAAAACCAAAAACAAUCCAAAGAAAAAACAAUAUAACUGCAAAACAAACACACCAUUCUUUUUGGGUGAAUCCUCCCAGGUUGGAUGCUUUCUGUGGAUGGGGAAGAAGGUGGAUGGGAGAGGUGAAAAAUUAAAAAUUUUACAACAAAACGAGCCUUUUUUUCUUUCUUUUUUUUUUUUUCUUUGCAGAAAUCCAUAUAAAUAUCUCAGGGUAGGAUUCCAAGGCUGUCCCUCUCCAAGCAGCAACCUCUGCGGGUGCUGGGAGAGCAGAAGGCACUCAGGGCAGGCAGAACAGGCUGUUCUGCUCAGGGAUGAGGAGAUCUCUGCCUAAUGAAUUGGCCCUGUUUCUGGAAUGACUGCCAGGAUGAAAUGGGGUCUCUCCUCCACUUAUUCAUGGGAAUUGGCUGCUUCCAACCUCUCUGCCUGUGUCAUUUCUGGGAUGGGAAAAAAAGUGAAAUGGGAAGGAAAGGAAUGAGUUCACAUUUAUGUCCUGGUAGGAAUUUUGGUUGAAGUCCAUUAAAACCAAGGUAAAUCAGGGCUUUUUAUCAGGUCUUUCUAAAGAAACACCUACCUGCAAU